rnacentral:misc_RNA from 1 species
GGAAGUAAAAGCGUAACAAGGUCUCCGUUGGUGAACCAGCGGAGGGAUCAUUACCGAGUUUACAACUCCCAAACCCAAUGUGAACCAUACCAAACUGUUGCCUCGGCGGGGUCACGCCCCGGGUGCGUCGCAGCCCCGGAACCAGGCGCCCGCCGGAGGGACCAACCAAACUCUUUUCUGUAGUCCCCUCGCGGACGUUAUUUCUUACAGCUCUGAGCAAAAAUUCAAAAUGAAUCAAAACUUUCAACAACGGAUCUCUUGGUUCUG